UGGGGAAUUUUGGACAAUUGGGCGAAAGCCUGAUCCAGCAAUGCCGCGUGUGUGAAGAAGGCCUUCGGGUUGUAAAGCACUUUUGUCCGGAAAGAAAUCCUUGGCUCUAAUACAGUCGGGGGAUGACGGUACCGGAAGAGUAAGCACCGGCUAACUACGUGCCAGCAGCCGCGGUAAUACGUAGGGUGCAAGCGUUAAUCGGAAUUACUGGGCGUAAAGCGUGCGCAGGCGGUUUGCUAAGACCGAUGUGAAAUCCCCGGGCUCAACCUGGGAACUGCAUUGGUGACUGGCAGGCUAGAGUAUGGCAGAGGGGGGUAGAAUUCCACGUGUAGCAGUGAAAUGCGUAGAGUGUGGAGGAAUACCGAUGCGAAGGCAGCCCCCUGGGCCAAUACUGACGNUCAUGCACGAAAGCGUGGGGAGCAAAACAGGAUUUAGAUACCCCUGGGUAGUCCACGCCCCUAAACGAUGUCAACUAGUUGUUGGGGGAUUUCAUUUCCCUUAGUAACGUAGCUAACGCGUGAAGUUG
rnacentral:rRNA from 1 species